rnacentral:rRNA from 1 species
GAUGAACGCUGGCGGCGUGCCUAAUACAUGCAAGUCGAGCGAACAGACGAGGAGCUUGCUCCUCUGACGUUAGCGGCGGACGGGUGAGUAACACGUGGAUAACCUACCUAUAAGACUGGGAUAACUUCGGGAAACCGGAGCUAAUACCGGAUAACAUGUUGAACCGCAUGGUUCAACAGUGAAAGACGGUCUUGCUGUCACUUAUAGAUGGAUCCGCGCCGCAUUAGCUAGUUGGUAAGGUAACGGCUUACCAAGGCAACGAUGCGUAGCCGACCUGAGAGGGUGAUCGGCCACACUGGAACUGAGACACGGUCCAGACUCCUACGGGAGGCAGCAGUAGGGAAUCUUCCGCAAUGGGCGAAAGCCUGACGGAGCAACGCCGCGUGAGUGAUGAAGGUCUUCGGAUCGUAAAACUCUGUUAUUAGGGAAGAACAAAUGUGUAAGUAACUAUGCACGUCUUGACGGUACCUAAUCAGGAAGCCACGGCUAACUACGUG